UACGUAGGGUGCGAGCGUUGUCCGGAAUUAUUGGGCGUAAAGGGCUCGUAGGCGGUUUGUCACGUCGGGAGUGAAAACUCCAGGCUCAACUUGGAGACGCCACUCGAUACUGCCGUGGCUAGAGUCCGGUAGGGGACCACGGAAUUCCGUGGUGUAGCGGUGAAAUGCGCAGAUAAUCAGGAGGAACACCGGUGGCGAAGGCGGUGGUCUGGGCCGGCACUGACGCUGAGACGCGAAAGCGUGGGGAGCGAACAGG
rnacentral:rRNA from 1 species